UAGGUGGAGAAAAGGUUCUUCUGCAUUUUGUCCAAAAAACGCCCGCAGACAACGUGCCGCUUGAGGAGAUCACCAAAGCUCUCGGGAUCUCCGCGAACGUCCAGGCUGGUGAAAAGCCACAGUGCAAUGAAGAUGUAUGCACACGAUAGAGGAUUCAGAGUUCUUCAAGAUUGAAUGGACUCUGCUUUCUGGUUAUCCAGUGAAUUAUUCACACUAAUCUGACCUCAAAUCAUCUUUACAUUUAUGUGAUGCUUACUAUAUAUAUAUAUAAUGCCCUGAUCAUAUGACUAGGAAAUAAGAACAUUUUUGCAUUUUAUAUGCAUUGUUGAUUACUAUUGUUGCUUUUAUGCUAAUUUUUUUAUUUGAAUUAGUAAAUCAACCAUUAAAAAAAUACAAGCUUUGCACGAGAGCUAAAAGAUACUCCUUUAAUGAGAUUGUUUUAUAAACUUAUAUUUAUGAUUUUUCACACGUCUGACCAAAUGUGACUUGUUAACUGAAGAAUGUGAAUGACAUUGUAUAUAUUAAAACUUUUACCAAAGUGUAUUUGUGUGUUUAAUGUAUAAACAUGAAUGUUUAAAAAAAACAAACAAAACAGAUGCAUAAUAUUGUUGCUUUAUAUAAGUUUAUUUUCGAAGCUUACAUAUUUUCUCUUAUAUAUCAUAAUAUUUCAAUGUUUAAAAUAGCUAAAUAAUAUCUGAAGCCAUAUAUUUUUGCUUGAACAAUCAGUAUUGGCAGAACAAUAUGAUUACAAAGCAUUCACUUGGAAAGUCGUUAAAACAUAUAUGGUCUCAAUCAAACAUGGACCCCAUAUAAUAUCAAGAGCAUUUCUGUCAGUAUGAACCUUUAGAGACCUUUCAACAGUCAACAAGUCUAUGUACAGAAUAAGACCAGCCCCAGACAUAUUCAUUUAGCAGCAUCUGUGGUCAUGUGGUAUUUCAUAACAUGAGGGAGAAUCUCAAAACCUGCAAAGAACAUGUCCAGGUCAUAUUUCAACUAUUAAUCAACCAUAAAUCUUUCUGGCAUAUUAAGUGCAUGUGCCAACUUUGUUUGAUUUUGUGGCGAAAUGUAACCUUGACAUGUUUUCAUGAGGUACAUCUGUGAACUGAAAUAUAAAUGUAAAAAAUAACAUUAAAACUGAAUUGUGAAUCAUU